GAUGAACGCUGGCGGCGUGCCUAAUACAUGCAAGUCGAGCGAAUGGAUUAAGAGCUUGCUCUUAUGAAGUUAGCGGCGGACGGGUGAGUAACACGUGGGUAACCUGCCCAUAAGACUGGGAUAACUCCGGGAAACCGGGGCUAAUACCGGAUAACAUUUUGAACCGCAUGGUUCGAAAUUGAAAGGCGGCUUCGGCUGUCACUUAUGGAUGGACCCGCGUCGCAUUAGCGAGUUGGUGAGGUAACGGCUCACCAAGGCAACGAUGCGUAGCCGACCUGAGAGGGUGAUCGGACACACUGGGACUGAGACACGGCCCAGACUCCUACGGGAGGCAGCAGUAGGGAAUCUUCCGCAAUGGACGAAAGUCUGAAGGAGCAACGCCGCGUGAGUGAUGAAGGCUUUCGGGUCGUAAAACUCUGUUGUUAGGGAAGAACAAGUGCUAGUUGAAUAAGCUGGCACCUUGACGGUACCUAACCAGAAAGCCACGGCUAACUACGUGCCAGCCGCCGCGGUAA
rnacentral:rRNA from 1 species